GUGGGGAAUUUUGGACAAUGGGCGCAAGCCUGAUCCAGCAAUGCCGCGUGCAGGAAGAAGGCCUUCGGGUUGUAAACUGCUUUUGUACGGAACGAAACGGUCCGGGCUAAUACCCUGGGCUAAUGACGGUACCGUAAGAAUAAGCACCGGCUAACUACGUGCCAGCAGCCGCGGUAAUACGUAGGGUGCAAGCGUUAAUCGGAAUUACUGGGCGUAAAGCGUGCGCAGGCGGUUUUGUAAGACAGGCGUGAAAUCCCCGGGCUCAACCUGGGAAUUGCGCUUGUGACUGCAAGGCUGGAGUGCGGCAGAGGGGGAUGGAAUUCCGCGUGUAGCAGUGAAAUGCGUAGAUAUGCGGAGGAACACCGAUGGCGAAGGCAAUCCCCUGGGCCUGUACUGACGCUCAUGCACGAAAGCGUGGGGAGCAAACAGGAUUAGAUACCCCGGUAGUCC
rnacentral:rRNA from 1 species